rnacentral:rRNA from 1 species
GAUUAGAUACCCUGGUAGUCCACGCUGUAAACGAUGAUCAUUAGUCGGUGGAAAACUACUGACGCAGCUAACGCAUUAAAUGAUCCGCCUGAGUAGUAUGCUCGCAAGAGUGAAACUUAAAGGAAUUGACGGGGACCCGCACAAGCGGUGGAGCAUGUGGUUUAAUUUGAAGAUACGCGGAGGAACCUUACCCACUUCUUGACAU